CAAACACAUUCAGCACCCAAACACAUUCAGCACCCACAGACAUACAGCACCCACAGACAUACAGCACCCACAGACAUACACAGCACCCACAGACAUACACAGCACACACAGACAUACAGCACCCACAGACAUACACAGCACACACAGACAUACACAGCACCCAAACACAUUCAGCACCCAAACACAUUCAGCACCCAAACACAUUCAGCACCCA
rnacentral:lncRNA from 1 species